ensembl:lncRNA
CUCCUGGGUGCUGGGGAAAAGUCUGUUGACAAAGCCACCAGCUGUCCCCAGUUGGAGCCAGGGAGACAGACUCCUCCUCCCUGAACCACCACCUACACAGGGAGACCAUUCCUACCAGGACCCAGUCAGCAACGGAACUUGGACCAUCUUGAAGCUCAGAUCACAGGCUCCGAGCGACCUCCCCUCCAGCUCCAGCUGCCCAGCCUAACAAGAACAAGGGCACAAGACCUCACCCAGUGGAGGCAGAAAAUAGCCUGUGUCAGAUCAUGUGACCUGAUCUGUGGUCUGGAGAACAUGGUCACCAUAAUUACAGCAUUGACCACAUGGCACAUGGCGUAACAGUUCCCCUCCCCCACCACACCCCCAAAAGAGAGACAGACACAGAGACACGGAGACACAGAGACAGAGGGGCUGUUCAGUGGCAAGGACCGGAAAAACCUGAUUCCCCACUAAGCAAAUGGAGACCAUCCUGUAAAAUGGGCAGGCCUUUCUGGAACCAGCAGCCAGUAGGCUCUGGAGAUUCCAAAGGGCAGCUGGUUGCCAAGGAGAAAAAAAAUAAAAUAAGACUACAGAAGAAUGAAGAGACCUGAAGGACCCCAACUUUUUCUGGCAUCCCCAGGACUGGUUCUUCUGAGGAAAGAACAGUAGAGAGGUUCAUCAGAAGCAGAAGGCCCAAGUGGGAGCUCCCUGAAGCCCACCAUUGGGGACACGUGUUGAGCGAUGUCCUGCAGCACGGAGCACAGUGGAUCCCUGGAGAGGAGGAGGCAGACUGGGCCUGUGAAUGAGAGGCAUGACGUAUGUAUUCAAGGCUCAGUCUGAUGAAAAGAUUUGGAAGCCUAGCAUAAGGUUAGGUUCUGACUAUCUCUGAUGCUCACAGAGAGCCGCCGAGACUUUGCAGUAGAAGGUGAGUGAGUAGAGUGGGCAGACGAGCCAUCUGGAAGACAGGUCAUUCACAGAGGGAUUCAUGGACCCAGGAUUUCAAACAUUGUGGGGGCUAUUAUAAAGAAAGAGUUAGGGGAGAUGUUUUGUCUCAAAAAGGCACAUCAAAGCAAACAAACAAACAAACAAACAAAACACUCCAGAUGAGAUACCACGAACAAAAUUCUUUUCUGGAUUCUGGAUUUGAGAAGCAUUAAGUGGAAGAAGAAAAAAAAAAGAAUACCUCCCCACACAAAAACACAGACAGACAGACAGACACACACACACACACACACACACAUACACAGAGAGAGAGAGAGAGAGAGAGAGAGAGAGAGAGAGAGAGAGAGAGAGAGAGUGUCAAUGAGCUGUUUUAAACCUAUACGUUCUACCCAUAGAACACAUGGGCUAGUCACAUCCCAAACACUCUGAAGCCACAUGUGCCUAUGGCUACAGUGUUGGAGAGCGUGAUUUCAAAGCCUAAAAUCCUGUGACUCACUUUUCCAGCCUUCCAGGAUGCUGGGCCUUUGAGAGUCUGGUAUCCGGCAGUCUGCUAAAGGCUCCAUAACGCUACAACUGUGAUUCUACUGGGUUAAAAAUGUUUCCUGAGCCCCAGGACUGCCUGUGAAGAAGGCUUUUCUCCACAUGGCUCUCUGUGGAAAUAAAUCCAGCUCCCUACAGAGCCAGUGGGGGAAGGUGGGAGCAAAGAGCCUCCCCUCAGCUGCCUGCACCAUCUGGCCCAGCCUGUGGGAGAGAGGAUGGGUGUGCCUUUCCACGUGGGGGACCUUGCCUCUCAGUCAUCCCUGGAGUUCUUCAUUUCUCCACCCGUGUGCAUAAUAAGUCUGCAAGGGAGACUCGUGCCCUGAGUCUUUGUGCGAAACAGGCAUGCCCCUGCCUCCCUCUCUUGGGUUCUCCCUUGGGGGUUCAGGACAGCAUCUGAGGUCAGUUAAGCCCAGAUAGAAUUCCCCAGCUGUGAGCUAGGCUUCCAUUUGCUCAAGGCUGGAGUCUGGGGACCUGGGAGGACAGAAGUCAGGAGCCUGUGCCUUGCAGCAGAGAGUCAGACGUCUCUGAAGGUCACAGGUGCUGUGCCUUUCACUGUGAGGAUGGGGAAGCAGACCUAAGCACAGAGGGCUUUCCUAAGUUAGGCCCAAGGUGAGUGUUGCACUAUGCCCACAGGAACAUCUGCUUAGCAACAGUCUCCUCUGCCCCCAAGCUCCUCAUCCUAAUCACCACUUUCCUGUGGGGGAGGACAAGGAGCAAACUGGGCAUGGCUGGAUGUCAAGGAUGCUGUGGGAGGCCACACACAUGGCUGUCUGGUAGUGCCUUCUUGGCUUUGGGGUGUUUCUUUGUCUGGGCUGCCAGAACAAAUCUCAUGGAUGGAGGGGCUUGUACACUACAGAAAUCUGUCUCUCCCAAUUUUAAGGCUGGGAUAUCUAAGAGCAAGGAUCUGGCAGAUUCUGAGUCUGAGGCAAGCCACUUCCUGUAUCAUAGAUGACUCUGCUCUGCCCUCCUAUAGUGGAGAAGACAAGUUCCUUGGGCCUAUUUUGUAAGGGCAUUGAUUCCAGUUGUGAGGGCUCAGUUUUUAGGACCUACCCAUAUCCCACACGUAGGUGCUCACGCCUCAUAAUACCAUGAGCUUGGGGUUAGGAUUUCAACAUACAGAUUUGGGGCCACACAGCUUUCACACAGGGAGAAGCUCAGAUAGGCCCAGAAAUAACAUCCUGCUGAAACCUGGUUCCACAGGAAGAGAGAAAGUUCAAGACACCUUUAAUCCCAUCAACUCCAGAGGCAGAGACAGGUGGAUCUCUGAGUUCCAAGCCAAUGUAGUCUACAGAGUGAGUUCCAGGACAGCCAAGGCUACACAGAGAAACCCUGUCUUGAAUGCCUCCGCCCAAAGAAGACUUUUACUUUUCCUGUGUAUGGAAUUUUUGGUUUAUGUGUAUGCCUGUACAUGACUUGUGUGUGCCUGGUACCUGUGGAGGCCAGAAGAGGGCCUUGAGACCCCCCUGGAAUUAGAGUUAUAGAUGGUUGUGAGUAAUCAUGUGGGUGCUGGGAUUCAAACCUACACUCUCUGGAAGAGCAGCCAGUGCUCUUCCACUGGGCUGUAUCUUCAGCCCCUCACAGUUUAUAAAUGGUUGGGGAUGUAGCUCGGUUGGCAAAGUGUGUCAGCCAACCGUGCAUGGCACUCUGGAGUCAAUUUCUGACAUGGCAUACGUUGGGUAUGGUGGCACACACCUGUAACCCUGACUGUGGCAGAAAGAUCAUAAAUUCAAGGUGUGGCUACACACCAAGUUUAAGGCCACUCUGGAAUACUUUUUAACAGCCUAAGACUGUUAAAAAAGAAGGGGGCAGGGGCUGGAGAGAUGGCUCAGCGGUUAAGAGCACCCGACUGCUCUUCCAGAGGUCCUGAGUUCAAUUCCCAGCAACCACAUGGUGGCUCACAACCAUCUGUAAUGAGAUCUGAUGCCCUCUUCUGGUGUGUCUGAAGACAGCUACAGUGACCUUAUAUACAUAAAAUAAAUAAAGAACUCCUUGAGGAAAAAAAAAGGAGGAAGAGAAAAGAAAAUCCUUACUUAUUUCUGUGAGGUCCUAGACCUAAAAAAGGGGUGGGGGUGGGGUCGAGAUAUGAUAGUUUAUCACAUAAAGGCCCUUGUUUACAAGGCGGAGUUAAAUUCCCAACACCACACACAUAUACAUGCACACAAAUACACUCACAUUAAAUGAGUACAUGUUUGUUUUUAAAGACUUAAUCUAGGCUCCCAUUGAGCCUGGAGCCCAGUUUCAGCAGGGCUUGGUCACCAUCCUAGAAGAGGCAAGCAGCUCCAGGUGGCAGCUUGAACAGAAGGGUCUCUGCCAGCAGAAGCCAGCUUCCUCAUCUGCCCCUUAUCUUCUUUGUGGCUCAAGGCCUUUCCUAGCCACAGCCCCUACACCCAAGAGGAAAAGCAGGCAGGACGACUUGCCAUCUGCAGAUAAAACCCAACCUUCGGCCAGCUCUGAGACUUUAUUGCAUCCCCUCUUGGUCAGACAGGGAAACUGAGCCCCUGAGGCAAAGGACUCAUCUCAAAGCCAGAGGAGUCUAGGCAGCCGGAAGACCUUGACUAGGCACCCAUCCCAAGAGGUUCACCACUCUGUUCCCAGACACCCUGUGCUCUGUUACUAAGGAGACAAAUGUCCAGAGAUGGCCCACAGCUGUCAUGAACAUGGGCUGCCUCCAGGUUGGGCUUCCCCAUGCAAGGAAAACCCCAGGACGGUUCUUUGUGGUCAGGAGAAUCAGGGAGGAAAUGACAAAAAUCCUGUGGAAGGCAACAGAAAACAGCUCAGCCUGGGGCUUCAGGGGAUCCAGCUCUGACCAAGCAGAGGUGAAAGAAAACUGGCAGGCAGGCAGGGGCGGGGUGUCCAGCAGGAAGGCAGUCUCUAAAUCUAGAUCUGAGACAAACGGUGCAGGGAGGAGGGGGCGUGUCAUCAAGUACUCAGAACUUCUGUGCAGAGAGCUGUGUGGUCUGAGGGACUCAGUCACCGACUCCCUCCUCUAACUGCAAUGUUGUGUCCAGGGUAACAAGAAGCUAAGUUCUGGCAGCUACACCCACAGAUAGUUAGCAAAUGUGAGUGACUUGUUCAUGACAAUUAGAGGUAGACGCUAUUGUUUCCCAAAGGAGGUUAGCAAUAGCUUUUUUUUUUUUUUUUUUUUUUUUUAGACAAGGUCUUACAGAGAUAGCCCUUCAAGGCUUUUAAAAUCACUUUGCAGAGAAGAAUGACCCUGGACUUCUGAUACACUUCCAGGAAUCUGUCAAGGACCAUCUGCCACCACAUGCUACUAUAUACUCCCUAUAUGCAUGUUAAAUAAGCAAACAAAUGCCUACCUGCAUGCAGUCGUGCGGCAAGACAACUGUAGGGGGAGGUGUGUGUGGUGGGGCUUUUGGUACCCAAGAUGUGGCAGACUCCUUCCCAACUUGCUGGACAGCAUCAGUUUUGCAAAAACACCAUACUAAGUCACCUUCCCACAGCACCCAUUCUGCACCAGGAUUUGCUGAGCACUGAGAACCCCCACUUCUUCCCACAGCGCUAUGAGAAGAAAUGACUGUUUGUCUG